rnacentral:rRNA from 1 species
GACGAACGCUGGCGGCGUGCUUAACACAUGCAAGUCGAGCGGUAAGGCCCUUUCGGGGGUACACGAGCGGCGAACGGGUGAGUAACACGUGGGUGACCUGCCCUCAGCUCUGGGAUAAGCCUGGGAAACCGGGUCUAAUACUGGAUAUGACUCCAUGACGCAUGUUGUGGGGUGGAAAGCCUUGUGCGGCUGAGGAUGGGCCCGCGGCCUAUCAGCUUGUUGGUGGGGUGANGGCCUACCAAGGCGACGACGGGUAGCCGGCCUGAGAGGGCGACCGGCCACACUGGGACUGAGACACGGUCCGGACUCCUACGGGAGGCAGCAGUGGGGAAUAUUGGACAAUGGGGGCAACCCUGAUCCAGCGACGCCGCGUGGGUGAAGAAGGCCUGCGGGUUGUAAAGCCCUUUCGGUGGGGAAGAAAAGUCUCGACCUAAUACGUCGGACCUUGACGUAACCACUAAAGAAGCACCGGCUAACUCUGUGCCAGCAGCCGCCGCAGU